rfam:Salmo salar isolate Sally breed double haploid chromosome ssa16, whole genome shotgun sequence.
UUAUUUUAUUAUUGUAAGUCGCUCUGGAUAAGAGCGUCUGCUAAAUGACUUAAA